GGGGACCCCGGCGUCCCGGUGUCCCACCCCUCCCGCUAAGCCGGGAGGCCGGAGGGACAGGAGCCACCCUCGCCACCAGCCUCGCCACCCUCGCCACCAGCCUCGCCAUGGGGCACGACGAGAGCUGGCUGGGCCGGCCCCCCGGCGAUCGGGGCUUCCCCCGAGCCCAGGCCGCCUGGGGCAACCGCAGCGGGCCGGGGGGCGACCCCGAGUCCAGCGAGGCCCGGACCUACCGACACUUCACCACCAUCGUGCAGGUCGUCAUCUUCGUCGGCUCCCUGCUGGGCAACGUCAUGGUUUUGUGGUCGACCUGUCGCACAACCGUGUUCAAAGCCGUCACCAACAGGUUCAUUAGAAACCUGGCCUGCUCGGGCAUCUGUGCCAGCCUCGUCUGUGUGCCUUUCGACAUCGUCCUCAGCACCAGCCCUCACUGCUGCUGGUGGAUCUACACCGUGCUCUUCUGCAAAGUGGUCAAGUUCUUGCACAAAGUCUUCUGCUCGGUGACCAUCCUCAGCUUCCCCGCCAUCGCCCUGGACAGGUACUAUUCCGUCCUCUACCCCCUGGAGCGGAAAAUCUCGGAGGCCAAAUCCCGCGACCUGGUCAUUUACAUCUGGGCCCACGCGGUGAUGGCCAGCGUCCCCGCGUUUGCCGUGACCAACGUGGCCGACAUCUACGCCACGUCCAGCUGCACGGAGGCCUGGAGCUACUCCCUGGGCCAGCUGGUUUACGCCCUGGUGUACAACGUGACCACCGUGAUCGUGCCGGUGGCGCUGGCCUUCCUCUUCAUGGCGCUCAUCCGCCGGGCGCUGAGCGCCAGCCGGAAGAAGAAGGUGGUGAUGGCGGCCCUGCGCACGCCGCGCGACACCGUGUCCAUCCCGUACGCCUCGCCGCGGGAGGUCCAGCUGCACGCCACCCUACUCUCCAUGGUGCUGGUCUUCCUCUUCUGCAGCGUCCCCUACGCCACCCUGGUGGUCUACCGGGCCGUGCUCCGCGACCCCGACACGUCCGUCUUCCUGCUGCUCACGGCCAUCUGGCUGCCCAAGGUCUCGCUCCUGGCCAACCCCGUGCUCUUCCUGACGGUCAACAAGUCGGUCCGCAAGUGCCUGGCGGGGAGCCUGGCGCGGCUGCACCGGCGCUACAGCCGGCGCAACGUCGUGGGCUCCGGGGUCGGGGCCGCGGGGGCCGGGGCCGGCCCGGACGCGGGCCCGGACGUGGGCCUGGAGGCGGGCCUGCGCUCGGGCAGUCAGCUCCUGGAGAUGUUUCACAUCGGGCAGCAGCAGAUCUUCAAGCCCACCGAGGACGAGGAGGAGAACGAGGACGAGGCCGCCGACCCGGCCCCCUCGCCGGCCCGGGCCCCCGUCGCCCGCAGCCCGGACCCCCGACCGCCUCCCGCUCCCUGCCCCCGGCCGGAGGGGCCUCCCGCCACCGACCGCUACGCCCUGCAGUUUGGCUUCGGGCCCUUCGAGCUGCCCCCGCAGUGGCGCUCCGAGACCCGGGGCAGCAAGAGGCGGCUGCUGCCCCCGCUGGGGAACACCCCCGAGGAGCUCAUCCAGACCAAGCCUCCCAAGGCCGGCAGGGCGGAACGCAAGAUCAGCCGCAACAAUAAAGUCAGCGUCUUUCCCGAGGCGGAAUCCUAGCCGCGGUCCGACCCUUCUCCGUCCACCCGUCCGCGGCCCAUCCCGCCCCCCGCGCCCUGCCCCGCGCCCCGCCUCCCGCGCCGCCUCCCCGGGGCAGGCCGGGCCCAGCCGGCGGAUCGACCGCGCACACUGUUAGGGGCUGAAAUGUCGGGGACCAGAUUCAGAUUCCCAGAGAGGGAAAUGCGUAGAACCAAGUGCUCCUUAUGGCAGGGUUUGCCCCUCUUUCCCCCGAGACCGCCCCGCUGCGGGGGCCACCCUCACCCCCCUCCCGUGGCGGCUGCUGGGGAGCAGUGGCCUUAGCAUUUCCCGAGGGCCCGCCGGGGGCAACCCACUGUUCCAAGCCCUCGGGAAGAAUGAAACCAGCAGGACAAAUGGGAAUCAACGUAUGUUUCUCCCGGGAUUUCCUCUUCUCCUUCUCCUCCUCCUCCUUUCCCUGUUUCCGGCAGGGAGUUCUGGGUUCCUGGGGAAUGGGCUCGGACCCGUUAGGGGGAACAGUAAGAGAGCCGACAGGAACAAACCCCAAAGUGAAGAGGCGGCAGAGAGGUCGUGAAGAAGCGGCCUGUUCGUUACCCCCAGAUAAGACUCUGCCCAGCUGGCACCGGCCCCUCAGGCACAAGGAAAAGAUUUACAGGGAGGGAGUGUCUCUUGAUGAUCCUUCUGUCCCGUGGCCACAAGGAACGCCAGCUCCCCCGGGCCACAGGCACAGGAUUCCCUGAAAACGAGAAGGGACAGACCUCGGCCCAGGAACAGUCGCUUUCCGCAGAGCCGGGAUGAAUCAGAGGGGGAAGAGGAAACGCAGGACCCCGAGGUGCGGAUGUCCUGCCGUCAGUCUGUGUGUCAGUCUGUUUGUCCGUCCGCACGCUCAGAGUUGUCCCUUUGCACAGCCGGACCGGGGGAAGGGAAGGGGAAGAAGCAAGCCCUGACUGUUGGCGGUGUGGAGCCGUGGGGUCCGGUGGCCCCCGAGUCCUGGGGCGUUGAUCCCCAUCACCUCCCGGGAGGGUUUCGCCACAGGGCUGAAGAGGUAGCGGGCGCCCCUGGCUUGGCCCCGGUGUCUACACUGGAGCCCUCAGAUCAUCUCAAACAAGGGGCCUUUUGGCAGACUCCAGCAGGCCAAGGGCCCUCUCCUCCAUCAGAGGGCCAAGUUUGCCCACCCAGAUGCCUCCUGAGGUGCCACCGGCUCCCAUUAAUGCUCCCCAAAUCCCCUUGGGUUCCUCGAACCGAUCGACUCUCCACGUGAUGGCACUUGGCAGACCCAAGACCCAGUGCCUCCACCCCUCAGACCUCCUCCCCCUGCCCUCUCUUGUUCCUGUCUGCCUGAGGCAGGACUGUCAGUCAGCACCCCGGGCCCCCUCCUUCCCUUCCUGGGGUUGUUUUGUCUCCUGUGUAUCCAAAGUAUGACCUCGAGGCCUUCAACUCUCCAUCCUCCAGAAUCCAGCCCUCACCCGCUUUUGUCCUCUUCCCCUUCACCCAGGCCGGCGCCUUGCCCGGAACCCAAACCGAUCACCCGCAUCUCCCGGCGGGGGCUGUCUAAACCACUUGACCCCCCGCUACUUGCCCGUCCCCCAGUUGAAUCGGAUCCCUGGAUGUAGCUUCAAAAAAAAUCCAAGCCAGGAAGCUGUCGAAAAGAGGCAGGGAGUUGGCCGACCCAGCCGGCAUCGGCUUUCCCAACGUUGCCCGGGUACGAAUGUGUGGACGACAAUUCGCUCUGCUGAGGCAGAGUCCGGUUAAGGCGGCCAAUCCAUCACUGUGGUUCCUCCUAAGACGUGCGGACUGAUGGCUUCUGACCGGUGGCUUCUGACCGACGGCUCCUGAUGGGUCUGGGGGCAGGAUGCGUUUCUCCAGGAUCUUCAAGAGAAGCAUCUCCAUGAAGACAUGGAAGCAGUUUCUAAACCCAAGCAGAGCACUGUGGGCUUUCAGGUUUCCUUUCCUUCUCUCGUGUCUUUUCCAGUGGAGUUUUGUGACCAGAUUCACUUCUGGCCCCAGGGUUAGGAGCCUGGUUUUAGGCACUGUUUCCUGGCGGUGUUUGCUGCCCAGGGAAAUGCUCGAGGAAGAAAGAGAUUUAGAGCAGAGCCAGUGGUGGAAGGAGAGGCGGGAGGCGUUGGCUACGCUCAGAUUCUCUUUCCUCCGAGCCUCUAGGCCCCCCAGUACCACUCUCCCCACCCCCUGAAGCACCUUCUGCUCACCCAAGCAAGCAGGAAGAGAAAGCUCAGUCCAUAGCCAGAAAGGGCCUCUAAUUCUGGGUUCUGAUCCCAGCUUCACCAUUAUUUUACAUCUGUAAA